rnacentral:rRNA from 1 species
GAUGAACGCUGGCGGCGUGCCUAAUACAUGCAAGUCGAGCGAACAGACGAGGAGCUUGCUCCUCUGACGUUAGCGGCGGACGGGUGAGUAACACGUGGAUAACCUACCUAUAAGACUGGGAUAACUUCGGGAAACCGGAGCUAAUACCGGAUAAUAUAUUGAACCGCAUGGUUCAAUAGUGAAAGACGGUUUUGCUGUCACUUAUAGAUGGAUCCGCGCCGCAUUAGCUAGUUGGUAAGGUAACGGCUUACCAAGGCAACGAUGCGUAGCCGACCUGAGAGGGUGAUCGGCCACACUGGAACUGAGACACGGUCCAGACUCCUACGGGAGGCAGCAGUAGGGAAUCUUCCGCAAUGGGCGAAAGCCUGACGGAGCAACGCCGCGUGAGUGAUGAAGGUCUUCGGACCGUAAAACUCUGUUAUUAGGGAAGAACAAAUGUGUAAGUAACUAUGCACGUCUUGACGGUACCUAAUCAAAAAGCCACGGCUAACUACGUG